rnacentral:rRNA from 1 species
ACACCGGCGGCCCGAGUGGUGGCCACUAUUAUUGGGGUCUAAAGGAUCCGUAGCCGGUUUGGUCAGUCUUCCGGGAAAUCUGACGGCUCAACCGUUAGGCUUUCGGGGGAUACUACCAGGCUUGGGACCGGGAGAGGUAAGAGGUACUACGGGGGUAGGAGUGAAAUCUUGUAAUCCCUGUGGGACCACCAGUGGCGAAGGCGUCUUACCAGAACGGGUCCGACGGUGAGGGACGAAAGCUGGGGGCAC